rnacentral:rRNA from 1 species
UACGGGGGGGGCAAGCGUUGUUCGGAAUUACUGGGCGUAAAGGGCUCGUAGGUGGCCAACUAAGUCAGACGUGAAAUCCCUCGGCUUAACCGGGGAACUGCGUCUGAUACUGGAUGGCUUGAGUUCGGGAGAGGGAUGCGGAAUUCCAGGUGUAGCGGUGAAAUGCGUAGAUAUCUGGAGGAACACCGGUGGCGAAGGCGGCAUUCUGGACUGCAACUGACGCUGAAAAACGAAAGCCAGGGGAGCAAACGGG